rnacentral:lncRNA from 1 species
CGCCAUGCUUGGUGCCAGCAGAUACGUGAGAAACUCAAGUCUGGGCUUGCUGGCUGCCUGGUCUCCAGCAACAAAACCUGCUUAUGAUUACUGCUGCUCCCUCCACAGGACUGAGACCACAAAGAAAAAUCACAUGAUUACUGAAACCAAAAAUGAAGGAAAAGAAGAAAGACAAGAUGCACAGAGGACCCAGCUCAGUGGGGGACCUGCCCCAUAAGUGUGGGUCCAGGAUCCUUGCACAGGCUCAGGCAGUCUCUGGGACAGGAAGGAGGUGGGGGCUGUGCUGUGCCUGGGUCAUCAUGCUGUGGUCCAGCAGCACUCCUGCUUGACGUGGGGACCAGUGGGGACCACGAGCAGUACCACAGGGACCAGCUUCAAACCCCACUUCACCUGUGCAGGCCCCAUCCUGAACCCCACCCACAGCCUGGAGGUUUGCCAUCUGCUUAGGAAAACACACCUCUUCUUUGACCUAAAGCUCCACCCAAAGGUGGCAGCCAGUCCUUUGGUACUUGUGUGAUACAGCGGUUCUUCUAUUUCCACCUAUGUGGUCUGGAACAAAUUCUUUAACCAAAUAGGAAAAUUAAAAACAGUAAAUGGAACAAUAUGUGCUAUAUUCUGCAUCAUUUUUGUUUGAUGAAAUGAAACUGCAUCCUCCUUCAGCUGCAAACAAAAGCUGGUUGAUGCCUCCCUGAGCGAGACAGUGCUGGGGGUGAGGAGAGAUCGAUGAAUAGGGUUAAAGCUAAUCCCUCUGCAUAGCAUUUAUGCUGAUAUCCUUGGUUUAGUGCAGUACUUCUUUGAAAUACAAAUUUCUGAAGCAUUGGAGAAAAGCACCUAUUUUCAGUGUGAGCUGUAAAUGAUGAAUUUAAGAGGUCUAAACUUCAUCUCAGAGUCAAAUACUGCCCCAUAUUAGCUCACUUUUCUGUUCCCACUGGAGUCCUAUUUAUUGCCCCCCAGCCUCAGUGCUUUUGAUGUUAGUUGGAGCUUAGCAGUGGUUUUAACUGAAAGAAAUGAAGGCCUGCUUUCCUGUGGAGACAUUGCUCUCCAGCUUUGGGUUAGCUGAACAACGUUACAUUUCUUUGCAGUGAUGGUGUUUUGGCAAUUGCUCUCACAUCUUGAAUCAAAGCUCUGUGUUACAGUGCUGGAGGUAGGACUGGCCAGCAAGGAACAGUAAAUCAUCAUCUCCCAGCCCCUGACCAAGCCAUGGGGGUUCUGGAGUU